rnacentral:rRNA from 1 species
GACAGAGGGUGCAAACGUUGUUCGGAAUUACUGGGCGUAAAGCGCGCGUAGGUGGUUCGUUAAGUUGGAUGUGAAAUCCCCGGGCUCAACCUGGGAACUGCAUUCAAAACUGACGAGCUAGAGUAUGGUAGAGGGUGGUGGAAUUUCCUGUGUAGCGGUGAAAUGCGUAGAUAUAGGAAGGAACACCAGUGGCGAAGGCGACCACCUGGACUGAUACUGACACUGAGGUGCGAAAGCGUGGGGAGCAAACAGG